ensembl:misc_RNA 7SK 7SK RNA
AGAUGUGAGGGUGAUCUGGCUGCAACAUCUGUCACCCCACUGAUCAACAGGGUUGAUUCGGCUCAUCUGGCUGGCUGGGCGGGUGUCCCCUUCCUCCCUCACCGCUCCACGUGCGUCCCUCCGGAAGCCACGCCCUUGGUGGAAGAGGACGACCGCCCCUGAUGGAGGAGGACCAUCUCCUUGGUCAAGGGUAUAGGAGUAGCUGCGCUCCCCUGCUACAACUUCCACACAAGCUCUCAAGAAUUCAAAAGUAAACAGAGUAAGAGGCUUAACAGCUGCGAGUAGGAUACGAUGGCCCCUGGCCAGGGCUGUCCCU